UACGUAGGGUGCGAGCGUUGUCCGGAAUUACUGGGCGUAAAGAGCUCGUAGGUGGUUUGUCGCGUUUGUCCGUGAAAUUCCCUGGCUUAACUGGGGGCGUGCGGGCGAUACGGGCAGACUGGAGUACUGCAGGGGAGACUGGAAUUCCUGGUGUAGCGGUGAAAUGCGCAGAUAUCAGGAGGAACACCCGGGUGGGCGAAGGC
rnacentral:rRNA from 1 species